UACGUAGGGUGCAAGCGUUAAUCGGAAUUACUGGGCGUAAAGCGUGCGCAGGCGGCUUUGCAAGACAGAUGUGAAAUCCCCGGGCUUAACCUGGGAACUGCAUUUGUGACUGCAUGGCUAGAGUGCAGCAGAGGGGGAUGGAAUUCCGCGUGUAGCAGUGAAAUGCGUAGAUAUGCGGAGGAACACCGAUGGCGAAGGCAAUCCCCUGGGCCUGCACUGACGCUCAUGCACGAAAGCGUGGGGAGCAAACAGG
rnacentral:rRNA from 1 species